rnacentral:rRNA from 1 species
GUGGGGAAUUUUGCGCAAUGGGGGAAACCCUGACGCAGCAACGCCGCGUGGAGGAUGAAAUCCCUUGGGAUGUAAACUCCUUUCGCUCGGGACGAUAAUGACGGUACCGAGAGAAGAAGCCCCGGCUAACUUCGUGCCAGCAGCCGCGGUAAUACGAGGGGGGCAAGCGUUGUUCGGAAUUAUUGGGCGUAAAGGGUGCGUAGGCGGUUUGACAAGUCAUCUGUGAAAUCCCUGGGCUCAACCCAGGGUCUGCAGGCGAAACUGUCGGGCUUGAGGAUGGGAGAGGUGAGUGGAAUUUCCGGUGUAGCGGUGAAAUGCGUAGAUAUCGGAAGGAACACCUGUGGCGAAAGCGGCUCACUGGACCAUUUCUGACGCUGAUGCACGAAAGCUAGGGGAGCAAACAGG